GAGUGUGAGAGCGAGAACAGCCCCGCAGGUCCCGAGGCGCUGGCUGGGGACAAUGCCGCGGAAAGUUCCCAGUCCCCAGCCGCAGAUCUGCAGAAUUGAAAUGAAAUGUUUUGAGCUCUUCAAGCUGACUCGUCAGAAUCCUGGAGCCUUUUAAAAAAUGACGAAUUGGAAGGAAAAAUUACUUUAUCAAUAACCAGGCUCCACCAGGAUUGACCUAGAUGGUUGUUCCUGGCACUUGUCAUUCUCAGCAAGCACAGCUCAGAGAACAAAUACAAAAGACCCAAAGUGCAUUGCAUCUUUUAUGGAAGUGCCCAAUGUGGAAAUCAUAGAUUUCAAGGAAGGAACAAGAAAAUUGAUGAAACAAGUUCAAAAGAAAGGUACCUGUGCCUCAUCAUUCCUAAAGAACACUGAUCAAUGAUCCCAGAAGUAUGCCAUGUUCUCUUAAUUCAUCAGAGACUGAAAGCAAAGGAAAAUCAAGAAAUAAGCUUGGCCAAUUUGAUGUCAAUGGAAAUGCGUGAGAUUUUUAUUCAGCAUUCACACCUGAGCAAUGCUUUUGGUCAUGAUGUCAUACUAAGAAGAAACCACCUGAGAUGAGACUGUUAGAUGUUCAGAGCAAACAAAAACAAAAACAGACCAACAAAAAAAACCCAAAACAAAACAGAAGUUUCUGAAGGACAGCAGAAAUGGCUUUGCAGGACCACAACAACCACUCCCAGUCAUGAUGGAGAGAAGUGUUCAAUACCCACAGAUCCUGAACGUUGAGCUGAUUAUACUAACUAGAUGGGACUUAGUUUUGUCUACCGUGGGGUGAGCGUAUACUACCUGAGGGAACAGGUUCUCUAUGGUGAAGAUGGCAACUUGCUGACUCAGUCUCAGAAUGCGUUAAAUCCACAUAUUCUGGCAAGUGGAGUUCUGCUUCUCCAAUAUCUCUUCCAGACUAAGUCUCGAAAGGACAGUAAUUGAUCCACCCUGAGUCAUAUGCCCAUGUCCAAAGCAAUGAGUUUGGGAAAUUUCAUGACACACUCCUAAUUUUGUGGUAGGAGACACAUCAGAACCACACAAUGAGUCAGUCCUAUUUAUGAAAUAGAGGUUCAUCUAUCAGAUGAAAGGGAAAAAAGUUGUAAAAACAAAACAGAUGUUCACUAAUGGGGAUCUAUCUGAAUUUCACCUGUAACUACAAAUGCUCACAAGUAGAUUUACAGUUUUCCUAGAGUGUCAUGAAUUUAAAAACAUAUGCAUGGAAUCAUAAAGUAAUAUCCUAAUCACCUCUCACAACCUUUCUCUCCUUAACAUAAAAUGAGAAUAUUUUAGCAGCAGGAGAAGGAUUUUCAUUUAUAGACCUUUAUCAGACACUAAUGUAGGAUUGAGUUUGACCUGAUACAGUGUUCUAUCUCUGAGUGUUGUCACUCAGUUUUAUCAUAAAUAAAAUUUAUUUUAUAUGAUAUCAUAUAGAGAACAAAUUUACUUAUUUUUCUCAUGUAAUCAUGUAAUCAAUUGUUCCAACAUAAUCCAUUGAAUAGAUAUUGUGGCAUUUCCCUAAUUAUUUAUAAAGGCACUGUUACUAGAUAUGAAUAUUUAUAUAUGAGGAUAUGAAUCGUGGCUCUCUGAUUUGUUCAUUAUUUGCUUGUCUAUUCCUGUGCCAGUAUCAUACAAUUGGUACUAAUAUAGUGUUCUGAUAUUGACAGGAUGAAGUGCUCCUUCUAAUGAUGUAGCUUUAAAUUUGUCUUGGUUGUGCAUUUCUUUUUAUUCUUCCAUAGAGAUUUGUGGUUCAGUUGUCAGCUUUGAAAAUCACUUUUGGGAUUUGAAUUUGAAUUGCAUGAAAUUUGUAGACUAACUUGUAGAAAAUAGACAUUUUUAUGAUAUGAAUUUACACAUCCUUGUAACCAUGGGUGUGUUAUUUAUUUUCACUUUUGAAUAUUAUUGUGGGUAUUUAGUAAUAAAAAUAACAAUCGACGAGUUACAUGGUGGUUACUAUGUGACAGAUGUUGUCAAAGUUCCAUCCAUAUAUCAACUUAUUAUAUAUUCUUAUGGGAAGAGACCGUUAUUAUCUCCAUUACACAAGUAAGAAAAUCGAGGUACAAAGAGCUUAAGUAACAUGUGCUAAGUCAUAUAAGAGUAAAGCUUUAUUUGAAUCCAUGCAGUUUGUCUCCAGAGCUUGAAAUCCAUUUUAUUUUAUUUUAUUUUUGCUUUUUAAAAAAAAUUUUUUUGAGACGGAAUCUCGCUUUGUUGCCCAGGCUGGAGUGCAGUGGCACAAUCGCGGCUCAUUGCAACCUCCACCUCCUGGGUUCAAGCAAUUCUCCUGCCUCAGCCUCCCGAGUAGCUGGGACUACAGGUGGGCACCACCACGCCCAGCUAAUUUUUUGUAUUUUUAGUAGAGAAUGGGGUUUCACCAUGUUAGCCAGGAUGGUCUCGAUCUCAUGACCUCAUGUUCCACCUGCCUCGGUCUCCCAAAGUGCUGGGAUUACAGGCGUGAGCCACUGCAUCCAGCCUGAAAUAUUUACCAGUAUCUGAUAUUGCCUCACUAAGAACUUUGCCCAACUCCUUAGUGAUUCUACCAUUGGCUUAGUAUUUUGGAUUUUCUAGUAGACAAUAAUAUCGUGUGCAUAAAGCAAAUACAAUUAUUAUUACAAUAAAAUUUUUAAACUACUCAUUUGUACUUGCUUUCAUAAAGCCUUAGCUAAUUCCAACAAAAUAUUGAUUACUGUGGGAGAGAGUGGUAAAUCUUAUUUUGUACCUAAUAUUAAAUAAAAUGCUACUAAAUAUAAGUGAGAUGCUUGCUAUAAGUUUUAGUAGUUAAACACUAUAAAGUUAUUUCUUGUCUAUUUUCAAGAAUUUUUUAUUAUUUUAAAUGCAUGUGCAAUUUUUUUAAAAAGUAUUGUUUUGCAUCUAAUGUUAAAUAAAAUGCUUCUAAGUAUUAGUACUAAAUAUCAGUGAGAGGCUUGUUGUAAGUUUUAGUAGUUAAACACUAUAAAGUUAUUUAUUUUCUAUUUUCAAGAGUUUAUAUUAUUAUAAAUGCAUGUACAAUUAAAAAAGUCUUAUUUGCUCUUCUUUUCUAAUGUUAAAACAUUUGUGCUUUCCUGAGAUGAAUGCUGUGCUCUCAUGAAAGAUUGCAGAGUCAAAAAGUAGCCUCUGGAGUUAAGACUUUCUGGUUUUAGAGCCUCCUAUGGCCACUUACUAAUUAUGGGUCUUAGGAGAGUUACUGAACCUUCAUAAUGGGUACCAAUCCUAGAUCCUGUCAAAAGGGAUCCUUCUCUUGGCGAUGACUUUGGAAGAUCCUUUGCAUGACAAUAAAAAAAAAAGUAUUAUUAGAUCUAAUUUAUUAGAUAACACUUGGGUGUCUCUAAGUGUUAUGGUGGUAAACGUUCAACAGGCUCUCAAAAAUGCAUAUAUGUAUAUGUUUAUAUAGAUACAUAUACACUCAAAUGUGUAUAUAUGUAUAUAUACACACUAAUAUGUUUAUCAUAAAUUUUAUUGAUAUAAAGGU
ensembl:lncRNA PCDH10-DT PCDH10 divergent transcript